AUUUAAGAGUUUGGUGCGAUGAGGUUGAAUUAAGGCGGCAACAUAUUCUGGAACUAUUUGUCAAAAAUAAAGGAGGGUUUUGUAUGGGCAACUUCAUCCCCGUGGAUGUCUUAUUAAGUGCGCUCGAUGUAAAAAGGAGAUCGGAAUUGGAUAAACUUAUGAGGAGAAUUGAAUAUCUUCAAGCAGUGCUUGAUAUUUAUAGCUCAAUAGAUUUAACCGCAGCCCAACGAGAUCAUCUAAAAUUAUUGAAAAAUCAAUUAACAGAUGAUUUGAAGGCACUUGAACUUCUGGAGCGAAAACGUCGGCUUUCCAAAAAGGUAACAUACGAAAUUUCGACGAAAA